rnacentral:ncRNA from 1 species
GAGAGCCGGAUGCGGGAAAUCCGCACGUCCGGUUCGAUGAGCGGGGAGUGGAAACGGGGCAUGGCGAGGCUGUUGAGGCACCGGCGGACGAAAGGGCCGGAAACAGAUAGGCCGAGCCUACACCACCGCGCCACUCCUCGACUCUAC